GUGGGGAAUAUUGGACAAUGGGGGGAACCCUGAUCCAGCCAUGCCGCGUGUGUGAAGAAGGCCUUUUGGUUGUAAAGCACUUUAAGCGAGGAGGAGGCUACCGAGAUUAAUACUCUUGGAUAGUGGACGUUACUCGCAGAAUAAGCACCGGCUAACUCUGUGCCAGCAGCCGCGGUAAUACAGAGGGUGCAAGCGUUAAUCGGAUUUACUGGGCGUAAAGCGCGCGUAGGUGGCCAAUUAAGUCAAAUGUGAAAUCCCCGAGCUUAACUUGGGAAUUGCAUUCGAUACUGGUUGGCUAGAGUAUGGGAGAGGAUGGUAGAAUUCCAGGUGUAGCGGUGAAAUGCGUAGAGAUCUGGAGGAAUACCGAUGGCGACGGCAGCCAUCUGGCCUAAUACUGACACUGAGGUGCGAAAGCAUGGGGAGCAAACAGGAUUAGAUACCCGAGUAGUCC
rnacentral:rRNA from 1 species